rnacentral:tRNA from 1 species
GGCCACAUGGCGCAGUGGUUUAGCGCCUGGCUUCACUCUGCUUUAGGGCAAGCAGUUGUGCGUAGGUUCGAAUCCUACUGUGGCCG